UACGUGGGGUGCGAGCGUUGUUCGGAAUUACUGGGCGUAAAGCGCGCGUAGGCGGCCCUGUAAGUCCGCUGUGAAAGUCGAAGGCUCAACCUUCGAAAGCCGGUGGAUACUGCAGGGCUAGAGUCCGGAAGAGGCGAGUGGAAUUCCUGGUGUAGCGGUGGAAUGCGCAGAUAUCAGGAGGAACACCAAUAGCGAAGGCAGCUCGCUGGGACGGUACUGACGCUAAGGCGCGAAAGCGUGGGGAGCAAACAGG
rnacentral:rRNA from 1 species